rnacentral:rRNA from 1 species
GGGUUGGACCUGCCCGGUGAUUAGUCAAAUUUUGAAGUUAUUGAAUUAAUUAGAGAUUUUUUUAAACGGCUGCAAUUAGUAGUUGUGCUAAGGUAGCGUAAUCAUUUGCCCCUUAAUUAGGGGAAGGUAUGAAUGGUUUGACGUGGGAAAAGCUGUCUCUUUUAUAUAAAAGGAAGUUUAUUUUUGAGUGAAAAAGCUUAGAUGUUUAUAAAAGACGAGAAGACCCUAUCGAACUUGAAUUAUGUAUUAUAGA